CAAUAGCGUAUAUUAAAGUUGUUGCAGUUAAAAAGCUCGUAGUUGGACUUCUGAUGUGGGACUGCGCCCCGGUAUUUUGCCGUUGGGUGCGGGCUCGCGUCUUCCUCUCGUAGUUGGAUGGUGCACUUAACUGGGUGCCUUCUGAAUAUGGGACCUUACUUGAAAAAAUUAGAGUGUUCAAAGCAGGCAAUCGCUUGAAUACAUUAGCAUGGAAUAAUAGAAUAGGACUUUGGUUCUAUUUUGUGGUUUCUUGAACCGAAGUAAUGAUUAAGAGGGACAGUUGGGGGCAUUUCGUAUUUCGUUGUCAGAGGUGAAAUUCUUGGAUUUACGAAAGACGAACAACUGCGAAAGCAUUUUGCCAAGGAUGUUUUCAUUGAUCAAGAACGAAAGGUAGGGGAUCGAAGAUGAUUAGAUACC
rnacentral:rRNA from 1 species